UUUAAGGGUGGGCAGUUCGGGUGGUGGCAGGUUGGGCAAUUGUGAGUGUCUGUGUGAUGGUGAGGAAAGCGGAAGUUACGAAUGGAAUGCAGGUAGCUUAGGAACGAGGCAGACAGCUUAGGACCGAGGCAGACAGCUUAGGAUUGAGGCAGUUGGUAGGAAUCAGUGGGGGGCACUUGUCAUUUCGGCCAUGGGAUUCAAAAUUUGCAUGUCGAGUAUUUGUUACUAAUGUUUGUUGUUUUACAUUCGCUAGGUAUGCGCGUGGCUGCUCUCAAGAGAAGAUCAACUUAGCAAUUUGCAUUAGCAUUUGCAAGGUUGGUCUUCUCUUCGCCCCGCUACCCCGGCUGGCUCUCCGAGUGCUACCUCUACUUUAAGCAGAAGCACUUUUGCUUCUGCUUGAAGUAGAGGUAGCACUUGGGGAGCCGGCCGGGGUAGAGGGAUUUUUUUUAUUUUUUUUUUCAAUUCCCAUGGGAAUUGAAUUUUGAAUUAAAAAGGAGUCUCUUGUAUAAUUAAUGAACAAUUUAUUGAAAAGAACUUGUAAUUUUACAAUUUGAAUAACAAUAAAAAGAGAACAACCACUGCAUACUGUAUACUUAUUUAAAUAACAAUAGAAGAAAACAGAACAUGACACAAAGAGAACAAUUAACAUUGUGUUUACACAAGUGAAAACACAACAUUAAACAUGUGAACUUGGUCGUUUCAAGAUGAAAGUUUAUACUUCAAGAUAAAUAAUUACAAAACAACUCUGAUGAUAAAUUUUACGAGUUUGACGAAGAAAUCUAAAGCGUAAAAUCGAGUUGUUUCACAAUCACAAAAAUAUAUAUGGCUCAAAGACAAAGUAAAUCGAACUUGCUUUUACUUUUUUUGGAUACGGACUAAGUGUUUUUGGUAAAGUGAACAAAAAGUUUCACUUGAGUAUGGAAAUAAUGAUUUUAUCGCGAUGUCUAGAUGCUAAGAGAAUUCAAUUCUUUGUAAUACUCAACUGAACAUAUAUAAGAACAUUUUUUCAAUUGCCAAAUCGAGAAAUACUUAAAUUUGAAAUCAUCUCUGUCUUUCGGAGCCACAUAUUUUUGAGCGUCGUUUUUUAACCUGACAACUUUGAAUUGAUUAUAUAUAAUGUUAAUACUAAUUCAACUGAUGAAAAUGCAGUUCAAUAAAAUUUUAAAAGAAUGUUAUUAUUUCUCCAAUACUGAUUGAUUUUUCGAACAAAAAUUUGAAUUAAAUUUGCUUUGCUCAAUUAAGAAAAUGGUACAUUUCUCGUCCUUGAUAAAUUCAGUAAAAUGAUACACAUUGAUCCACCAUUUUAUAAACAAACAUCUCCUAGAUUUCACGUGGGGAAAAGUUGUCCUGUUAUAUAAUUAUUUGUAUAUUUUAAAACAACAACUUUUUGAUUUUAUUAUGAAAUAUUUUUGAUGCAAAACAUGUAGCAACCAUUUACAGAAGCACACAAAAUAUUGUUGAACCAAACUUUCAAAUGUUCAUAAAAGAUUUUCUGAUUUAUAUCCUUCUAUAAACUGG